GAAACGGGGGCGACGCGGUGGCCCGGCGAGGCGCUCGGCGGCGGAGGUGCGGAUCCGGUGGUGGCUGCUGUAGGAGGCGGUGGCGGCGCGGAUCCGGGGCCACCAUCGACAAGGUCACCAACGAUGACAAAACUCUUCCGCGGCAAUACAGUGCCCCUCAAGGGAUUCCCGGAUCGAUCCUGCUGCCUGACGCCUGUUCUGACUGACGAGCUUGACUCAUUGCUAUAGACAAUAAGCAGGCCGCCAUCAGAUCCGAAGCUAAGGCAGCAGCAGGCUCACGGGCUCCAUGGAAAGCGACAGGCUUGCGAACAGGAUGGUGACCUUGGGCACGCAACGGGACUGCACGGGGGUCAUCCAGAUUCUAUUUUAGAGGAUAAAAAACUGAUGUUUCUAUGGCUAUGAGCGUGUGUUUCUAUGCCUGAAUGAGUUAAUGGUUACAUAUCAGAGAACCAGAAACUAAUGUUUCUAUGGCUAUGUUUGUGGGCUUUUAUGUUUACGUUUCUAUGCUUUCUAGUAUAGAUUUCUAUACAUGCUAAACUGUGUUUUCGGAUAUUUAUGCAAGGCAUUGUUUCUGUGCUUACAUGCAUAAUAUUCUAUGGAAAGCAUGUUAGUUGCAUCGAUCA